GACGAACGCUGGCGGCGUGCCUAAUACAUGCAAGUAGAACGCACAGUUUAUACCGUAGCUUGCUACACCAUAGACUGUGAGUUGCGAACGGGUGAGUAACGCGUAGGUAACCUGCCUGGUAGCGGGGGAUAACUAUUGGAAACGAUAGCUAAUACCGCAUAAUAUUGAUUAUUGCAUGAUAAUUGAUUGAAAGAUGCUAUUGCAUCACUACCAGAUGGACCUGCGUUGUAUUAGCUAGUAGGUGAGGUAACGGCUCACCUAGGCGACGAUACAUAGCCGACCUGAGAGGGUGAUCGGCCACACUGGGACUGAGACACGGCCCAGACUCCUACGGGAGGCAGCAGUAGGGAAUCUUCGGCAAUGGACGAGAGUCUGACCGAGCAACGCCGCGUGAGUGAAGAAGGUUUUCGGAUCGUAAAGCUCUGUUGUAAGAGAAGAACGGGUGUGAGAGUGGAAAGUUCACACUGUGACGGUAUCUUACCAGAAAGGGACGGCUAACUACGUG
rnacentral:rRNA from 1 species